UGCAGUCGAGCGAACGGAUAAGGAGCUUGCUCCUUUGAAGUUAGCGGCGGACGGGUGAGUAACACGUGGGUAACCUACCUAUAAGACUGGGAUAACUUCGGGAAACCGGAGCUAAUACCGGAUAACAUUUAGAACCGCAUGGUUCUAAAGUGAAAGAUGGUUUUGCUAUCACUUAUAGAUGGACCCGCGCCGUAUUAGCUAGUUGGUAAGGUAACGGCUUACCAAGGCGACGAUACGUAGCCGACCUGAGAGGGUGAUCGGCCACACUGGAACUGAGACACGGUCCAGACUCCUACGGGAGGCAGCAGUAGGGAAUCUUCCGCAAUGGGCGAAAGCCUGACGGAGCAACGCCGCGUGAGUGAUGAAGGGUUUCGGCUCGUAAAACUCUGUUAUUAGGGAAGAACAAAUGUGUAAGUAACUGUGCACAUCUUGACGGUACCUAAUCAGAAAGCCACGGCUAACUACGUGCCAGCAGCCGCGGUAAUACGUAGGUGGCAAGCGUUAUCCGGAAUUAUUGGGCGUAAAGCGCGCGUAGGCGGUUUCUUAAGUCUGAUGUGAAAGCCCACGGCUCAACCGUGGAGGGUCAUUGGAAACUGGGAAACUUGAGUGCAGAAGAGGAAAGUGGAAUUCCAUGUGUAGCGGUGAAAUGCGCAGAGAUAUGGAGGAACACCAGUGGCGAAGGCGACUUUCUGGUCUGUAACUGACGCUGAUGUGCGAAAGCGUGGGGAUCAAACAGGAUUAGAUACCCUGGUAGUCCACGCCGUAACGAUGAGUGCU
rnacentral:rRNA from 2 species